rnacentral:rRNA from 1 species
UGUCUCAAAGAUUAAGCCAUGCAUGUCUAAGUAUAAGCAAUUAUACGGCGAAACUGCGAAUGGCUCAUUAUAUAAGUUAUCGUCUAUUUGAUAGCACCUUUCUACUUGGAUAACCGUGGUAAUUCUAGAGCUAAUACAUGCUAAAAAUCCCGACUUCGGAAGGGAUGUAUUUAUUAGAUUAAAAACCAAUGCCCUCUGGGCUCUCUGGUGAUUCAUGAUAACUUGGCGAAUCGCAUGGCCUUGCGCUGGCGAUGGUUCAUUCAAAUUUCUUCCCUAUCAACUUUCGAUGUUUGGGUAGUGGCCAAACAUGGUUACAACGGGUAACGGAGGGUUAGGGCUCGACCCCGGAGAAGGAGCCUGAGAAACGGCUACUACAUCCAAGGAAGGCAGCAGGCGCGCAAAUUACCCAAUCCCGAUUCGGGGAGGUAGUGACAAUAAAUACUGAUACAGGGCUCUUUUGGGUCUUGUAAUUGGAAUGAGUACAAUUUAAAUCCCUUAACGAGGAACAAUUGGAGGGCAAGUCUGGUGCCAGCAGCCGCGGUAAUUCCAGCUCCAAUAGCGUAUAUUAAAGUUGUUGUGGUUAAAAAGCUCGUAGUUGAACCUUGGGCCUGGCUGGCCGGUCCGCCUCACCGCGUGUACUGGUCCGGCCGGGUCUUUCCCUCUGUGGAACCCCAUGCCCUUCACUGGGUGUGGCGGGGAAACAGGACUUUUACUUUGAAAAAAUUAGAGUGCUCCAGGCAGGCCUAUGCUCGAAUACAUUAGCAUGGAAUAAUGAAAUAGGACGUGCGGUUCUAUUUUGUUGGUUUCUAGGACCGCCGUAAUGAUUAAUAGGGACAGUCGGGGGCAUCAGUAUUCAAUUGUCAGAGGUGAAAUUCUUGGAUUUAUUGAAGACUAACUACUGCGAAAGCAUUUGCCAAGGAUGUUUUCAUUAAUCAGGAACGAAAGUUAGGGGAUCGAAGACGAUCAGAUACCGUCGUAGUCUUAACCAUAAACUAUGCCGACUAGGGAUCGGACGAUGUUAUUUUUUGACUCGUUCGGCACCUUACGAGAAAUCAAAGUGCUUGGGC